rnacentral:rRNA from 1 species
ACGUUAGCGGCGGACGGGUGAGUAACACGUAGGUAACCUACCUAUAAGACUGGGAUAACUUCGGGAAACCGGAGCUAAUACCGGAUAAUAUUUCGAACCGCAUGGUUCGAUAGUGAGAGGUGGUUUUGCUAUCACUUAUAGAUGGACCCGCGCCGUAUUAGCUAGUUGGUAAGGUAACGGCUUACCAAGGCGACGAUACGUAGCCGACCUGAGAGGGUGAUCGGCCACACUGGAACUGAGACACGGUCCAGACUCCUACGGGAGGCAGCAGAG